rnacentral:rRNA from 1 species
CGCUCCUUGGAAAGGUUUCUAAUGUAUAAGGAGUUCUGCCUGCCCGGUGACAGAGUUAAACGGCCGCGGUAUUUUGACCGUGCAAAGGUAGCAUAAUCAUUUGUCUCUUAAAUGGAGGCUGGUAUGAAUGGCAAGACGGAAAUUUGACUGUCUCUCUUUUAGAGCUUUGAAAUUGAUUUUUUUGUGAAGAAGCGGAAAUUAGUUCGUAGGACGAGAAGACCCUAUCGAGCUUAAGUAAAGAAAUUUAGAUCCUUAAGUGUGUUUUUUGUGUUAAUUUAGUUUUUAAAAUGUUAGUUUUACUAGAGAAAUAUUGGAUUAUAAGUGUUUUACUUAGAUUGGGGCAAUCGCGGAGAAUAUUAAACCUCCGUUAUAAAUAUAUGUUAGAAGUGACUACUUUAGAGUGACUUAAUAUAGUUGUAUUGAAGUGAUCCAUUUGAAAGAGUGAGCAAAGGAAAAAGUUACCGUAGGGAUAACAGCGUAAUCCUUUUGGAGAGUUCAUAUUGAUAAAAGGGUUUGCGACCUCGAUGUUGGAUCGGGACUUCCAGGAGAUGCAGCAGUUUCCAAGGGUUGGUCUGUUCGACCAUUAAAGUCCU